GUGCCAGCAGCCGCGGUAAUUCCAGCUCCAAUAGCGUAUAUUAAAGUUGUUGCAGUUAAAAAGCUCGUAGUUGAAACUUGGGCCUGGCUGGCGGGUCCGCCUCACCGCGUGCACUCGUCCGGCCGGGCCUUCCUUCUGAAGAACCUCAUGCCCUUCACUGGGCGUGCUGGGGAAUCAGGACUUUUACUUUGAAAAAAUUAGAGUGUUCAAAGCAGGCCUUUACUCGAAUACGUUAGCAUGGAAUAAUAAAAUAGGGCGUGCGUUUCUAUUUUGUUGGUUUCUAGAGACGCCGCAAUGAUUAACAGGAACAGUCGGGGGCAUCAGUAUUCAGUUGUCAGAGGUGAAAUUCUUGGAUUUACUGAAGACUAACUACUGCGAAAGCAUUUGCCAAGGAUGUUUUCAUUAAUCAGUGAACGAAAGUUAGGGGAUCGAAGACGAUCAGAUACCGUCGUAGUCUUAACCGUAAACUAUGCCGACUAGGGAUCGGGCGAUGUUCUUUUUCUGACUCGCUCGGCACCUUACGAGAAAUCAAAGUUUUUGGGUUCUGGGGGGAUUAUGGUCGCAAGGCUGAAACUUAAAGAAAUUGACGGAAGGUCACCACCAGGCGUGGAGCCUGCGGCUUAAUUUGACUCAACACGGGGAAACUCACCAGGUCCAGAUGAAAUAAGGGAUUGACAGAUUGAGAGCUCUUUUCUUGAUUUUUCAGGUGGUGGUGCAUGGCCGUUCUUAGUUCGUGGGGUGACUUGUCUGCUUAUGCGAUACGAGCGAGACCUUACUCUGCUAAAUAGCCAGGCUAACUUUGGUUGGUCGCCGGCUUCUUAGAAGAGACUAUCAACUCAAGUUGAUGGAAG
rnacentral:rRNA from 1 species